rnacentral:tRNA from 1 species
CAGGAUGUAGCUUAUUAUAUAAAGCUUAUUAGUUACAUUAAUAUGAAAAUAAAAUUAUUUUUCUUGA